AAACCAGAAACCAAUAACCAGAUACGGGCUUGGUCCCGACGUCUCGGGGUGCCCGGGAGCUCCAGGCGCUAAGCGCUACUGCCACGUCCAUCACUUAUUCUGUACCAGGAAACAGAAGUCUGCAGACGCUUACCUCAGGAGUUUUACCAGGUCCAGGAUCCACAGGGCCGAAAUGAGGUGAAGGAGUUGAGAGGACAGAAAUGCACGCCAUCAAGACAGAGCUUUUGCUGAGAUUCGUAAGCAGCAGGCUUGGAAGUAUUGACCCAGAAAAUCAGAGAGCUGACAAGUUUCUCCAUCCUGUCCUACUGUUCAGAAGUCUUCCCUGCUGCCCACUGCAUGAAAGAGUAUUUCUUGUUCAAGGACAACCAAGAAAAAAAAAA